GAAAGGAAGAGGAGGAUAAGAAAAAACAAGACAGUGUUUACUUCAGGCAGUGAAGAGAAAAACAUAAAAGAUCUUGGAAAGGAUAAUGAGAAAUAUGGCUGUUUUCAAGAUGAGUAAUGUAACUUCAAACACAGUCCACGUUUUGGAAAAAGCCAGGAAGAGCAGGCCAGUGUCUCUCGAUGUCAUAAAUUCUCCACCCUGGACUCUCCUGCCUAAACGAACAGUUUCAGAUGAUAUAAUAAUGUAUGUGUGUGUGUGUGUAUGUAGAAGUUGUAAAUAGUUCUGUUUGUGCAUUAUUUAAAAUACUUUCAGUUUGCAUUGUGUUUGUGUAUUUAUUGUUUCAUAACUACAAUAUGUUAAAAAAAAGAAAGACUUCUAAAUAGCCAGGGGUCAACUCUGGUUAGAACACCAGACCAUUGCCUUGUACAUAAACUCCCUCAUUCAAGGCUAAUUUAAUGUCUUCAGGUAAUCUGCCCUGCAUGAGUUUGAAAUACAUUAUGUGUGGAAUAUUAGAGUACCUGCAGAGAAAAACCCAUACCCUAGUGAGAGGAUAUUCAACUUUCAUUUCAAGAGUGAUUUGGCAUUCUGAGCAAAUCUUAUGUUUUUCACUCUGUGGUAAUGUUUUACUAUUUAAUACAUUUCUUCAGUUAGGAGACUAUUUUCAUUCUGCUUUUGCAAGUUUGCAAACCAACAAAGGUUUAUUGGUAUCUUACACUGUCAGAUCUUUUGUAAACUAAUAAAGUUUUUUGCAGAGCCAGAUUCAAUGAAUUCAAAGAUAUCCAUUUGCAAAUUGCUGCCUAUGCAAAAAAUUGUUGUUCAUAAGAGUUUGACUACAAAUGCUUGCAUUCAGCAGAGCUUUCAGUUUAGCGGUAGUUGUUAAAUGCCUGUAUUGUGUACAAUAAACACAUGAGCCAGACACAACUCCCAGUUGUCUCUCUUACAAGCUAAUUCCAGUUUUACCUAUUUCCAUAACAACCAGCUUUUCAUUGCCGUGAGCAAUGGGGAUUUCUUAAACUUAUGGAAAGAAACUGGUUUUGCACUUUUCUAACUUUCACUCCUCUUAAUGACUCGUCAUCAGGCACGUUGUUAUCAUUAGCAAAUAUCAUGCGUUUAGCCAACCUCUAGAUGUGAGAUCAAAGAGCCUGUGUGUUGGGAUGGGGUAUCCAUCUUGGGGUUAUGUGUGAGGUGUAUAUGUGUAUCAAAGCAAAGUACAGAGGAGUGCCCUCUUGGGGUAUCACAUGUGUCAUACAUGUAUGUAAGCUCUUGAAGAUCAGGGCUGGAUCUCAUAGUGGCUUAGGCCUCUAAGUCCAUCCCACCAAUGACACCACUGCUCUAAAUGUUUGUGCUAUGUCUGUUACAUCAUGUAAUUAAUGCUCUAAUUAUACUUUGUUACCUCAUGUUUAAAAUCUUUAGGCAGACCUCUUCGAAAUAUACUAAGUAAUGUGCAGUCUUUCCAAGCCAAAUCUGUUAGAGUUUUUCAAGUAGUAAUACAGUUGUUUACAUAUGAGCUAUAUACAAAGAGGACUGAUCAUUCAUGUUAGGUAGAAUGCCCAGAGGAGGCUGGGCGGUCUCAUGGUCUGGAA